UACAACACCGCCUUCGAGCAG
rnacentral:misc_RNA from 1 species